AGAGAGGAGGGUGGCGAAGGCAGGCGACCCGGGCGGAGGAGGUGGAGGAGGGCUCUGCAGUCGGGUCUUCUAUUUCAUUCGAAACAGGGAUCCAAUCGUGAAGCCUGAAGGAGCCUCGUUCGCAGGCCGGCCUCCACCUCCCUCUCUUCCUUCCUCUCCCUUUCUCUCUCUCCCCCACUCGCUCUCUCUUUUUCUCUCUUUUCUUCCCUUUCUCCUCCUCCAAAAACGGAUUUUGUUUUCGUUGCUGAAACCAUCCCGAUCCGCCGCCGGGACAGCUCGGUACGGCCGGACUUGUUCGGUUUGGAACGAUUCCACCAACCCUAAUAUGAGCAGUAUAGAGCUUGUAUCGACCUGAAGAUAAAUUUCGUACCAGUUUCCUCCAAGUAUAAUAUGGUACGUUCCGUACCAGACAGUACGGAAGGGUACAGCAGACCAUGGGCAUGAUAGUAAAAUUUCAUGCAUCGAGAAUACUCAACUUGUUAACAACAAUUCAAUAUUUUAGCAUUUUUCUUGGUACUUUCGAAGGGAUUUUAACUUAGCAGGUUUUAUUCUCAAUAAUUAGGGCAUUGUUUAUUGAAGAUACAAUAAAAGGAGAGGUCAUCCAAGCAUAUUUUGAAAAUUUCUUGGUGUUUAUUUUGAUAUAGAGAAGAAUUGAUAUAUGCUUGUCAAUUUUUGGUGCCUUCUAAAGAACACUCCUUUCUAGAUCAAGCGCACGAGUAUAAAAAACGACCUUCAAGGACAACAUGGAUUCCAGGAUGUAACUAAUGAGAUAACAGAGAAUUAUACACUUCUUUCCUUCGUCAUUUGUGCACGGACAAGGAUUCAUGAGCCAGAAGUUAGGCUUCUUUAGGCCAUAACUAUAAUUUGGUUCCUCAACCUUGCUGCAAGUUCCUCCCCCUUCCCCUUUUCUUCAGCAAAAAAAAAAAAAAAAAAAUACCUUGCUGCAAGUCAAGAAUAUUCCUGGGGUCAUAGAGUUCUCUUAAAAUUAUCUAAAACUUCAAAAGUGCUAUCAUGGGGUCAGGAGAAUCAAUUACAAGUUUACUGCUUUCACAAUUUCUAGAGCAUGGUGAUGUUGCUAUAGCAGCAAUGAAGGACAAUUUUCAUGUUAUAUAAGAAUCAUGUAAACGUCCUGACAAGAAUUAUGAUUAGAAGCCUCGGAAUGACAUAAACUGCUAGGAAAUGGAAUUUAACAUUAUAAAAAUAUAAAGUUAACGAGUUACUUUUGGAAUUAAAAGUCAGGUUCGUCGUACCGGACUCCGUACCGGUGCCGGACCCCGUAUCGAUGCCACACUAUCAUAAUGUCGGUACGGUACGAUACACGGUAUGUCUGGCGUACCGAGUGUCGGUAGGCACCGAUACCAAUACCUGUACUGAACCGGUACGGUACCGUACGCUCGGUAUCGUCAGGUACGGUAUGGUACAGCAUACCAUGAUUGGAACCAAUAGGUUGCAAGUAUAAAUUCUUUCCUUGGAACAUUACACGCAUUUAACAACAUCACACGUAGGGCUGGAAGUAGGCCGGGCCAUACCCCUAUCUGGCCCAAAUUUUUUUGGGCUUCGAGCCAGGCUUAGGCCCGAAAAUUUUUAGAGAAUCCAGGCCCAAGCUCGACCCAAGCCCAGGCCCGAGCCCAACCCAUCUGGGCCGGCCAGAAUUACCCGUUUGGGCCAAAAAUGGGUUUGGCCCAAACUUGAUUGAAGCUUAAUAUUUUAUAAUGUUGCUUCACAAGUACAUGGGCUAGCCAAAAAUCGGGCGCUCUCCUAUAACACAAGUAAAUGAUACACGAUACAUCAUUCUCAGCAAAACACAUUUUAAUUUGUCCUUCACUUCCUCGUCACUCUCUUCAAAUAACAGCAUAUAAAAACCAAUGGAUCCAAGCCUAAAUUCAGGCUCCAUUUCAAACCUUGUUCAGUCUUGGGCUCUGGCCGAGCCUGGGUCGGGCCAAUGACAUACCCGAGCCCGGCCUGAAAAACAAAUGGGCUCUACAUUUUAGCCUAAACACUAUCUAAACUCUUUCAAGCUUAGCCCGUAGCCCAACUCGAAGUCAGCCUAGCUCGAUGGGCCUCAAGCCGACCCAAGCCCAUUUUCAGCCCUAAUCACCCAAGCAAAAUGACAAAUUUAUGAUUAUGAUAUUAAUAAGAAAGUUAGCAAAUCACAAAAACAUAACAUGCAAUGACCAAUUAUGAGAUAAAACUAACAUUAAAACUUGAUCUUUAACACAGUUCAAAAGGAAUGGAAGAAAAGUUUGAAAAUAUGUAAACCUUUUUUUGGUAUGUAGAGGCAUCAUUUGCACCCUUUGGAGAUUCACUGAAAUACAAACAAGAAAAAUUGGUCAGUUACAUAAAGUUACAUAAGAUCUGAACAGAUUCAAAUAGUAGCUUUUUUAAAAAGGCAAAAAGAACCCCAUAAUGAUAACACCCUGUUGUCUAUUGUAUAAUAUGUCUGUCUACAGAGCCUCCAUCAAUUAGAUAACAGAAUUUUGCACAUAUAGCAUGACAGCAGUUGAUUGUUAUGAUAUAAAAUCUUAAAGAGUAAUUACACCUAUCCCCUUAGAAGUUUAGGGUAAUUACAGAUUCCCCACCCAGCAUUUUGGAAAUAUACCUUCUACUACCUAACUUUUGCUAUGUGCAUAACAUAUAAACCCCUACCAUUAUCUUUCCGUUAAAUAAGCUAAAGAACCUUGCUGAAGUCAUCACUCUCUAACUUAUUUGAGUCUUAGUUGAUCUUGGAAAGGUUAAAAAAUCCAGGUUAGUCUUAAAAAGAGUAAGGUUAAAAUAGGUUAAGAUAUUUUAAGACUCGGAUAAGUUAGAGAGUGACGUCAGCAAGGUCUGUUAGUUAGUUUAUUUAACAGAAAGAUAAUGGUAGGAGAUUAUGUGCUGUGCACAUAGCAAAAGUAAGGUAGUGGAAUUACAUUUCCAACACGAUGGAUGGGAAUCUGUAAUGACCCCAAACCUCAAGGGGGGUUAGCGUAAUUUAUUCAACCUUAAAUUAACUUUGGACCUUUUUACUCUUUCCUUUUUUACUCAAAUAGCUCUAAAUUUAUCUAUAUUGUAGCAAAGCUUGCUAUAAUAAACAGAAUUUUACAAUCUAGAUCGACUAUUUCUUUUUUUGCUUUUUCUUUAUGGGAUGGACAUCACUAUCCAGGUAAAACUGCUAUGCGUCUGCUUUUCAAUCAGAACCAAAUGGAAAUAAACAGAUACCAAAGAUCCAAUAAGGCUUGUGGACGUUUCUGCAUGAGAUCACAUCCACUCUAUGAGGCAAUUCCUCAAUUUGAUUUUGAAAAAUCAGAAUUCGGAGAAGAGGGAGAGGGAGAGGGAGAGGGUCGGAGAGGCAGAGAGAGAGAGGGGAGGGAAGGUAUAAAGAGUGAGGAAGAGGGGGGAAUGCAUUUCAGCACAUCCAAGAAUGAAGGUGUGCAUGUACACAUGCAUGCACAUGCACUCAAACACAUAGAUAUAUAUAUAUAGAUAAUAUAGAUAUAUGGAUACAUAUGCUUGCUCAAGCAUAAACAAGCAACCAUAAUGAAACUUAUAGACACUACCGCAAAAAUAGACAAACAUGUAAUUUCCUACAGUAGUCAGAGCACAGUUCAGCACCUAGAAUGUAUACUGACAAUGUGCAAAAUUUACUCAAGUCAUAAGUGAUUUUUGGUUGAGAAAAAUUUUAUGUAUAUCUAAUGCACCAGCAAUGGUUUUAAAACAAGGUUCUUAAAAGCUGAUAUAUUGGUCAUCUUGUUGGAUGGCCAAGAUUGAAAAGAACAGAAAUCUUGGCUUAUCUCGGCCAAGAUGAAAAGUGGGGAAUUUAGGAAGGAUCAACUUUUUUUGAGAUCUUGGACAAAAGAUUGGAACCAGGAUAUCAAAGUGACUGCCCAAAAUCAAGCGCAGCAAUUAUUUUUAGGCAUUUGUCUUAAUUAAAAAAUCUAUUUGAGUAAAAAGUUAGAAAAUAUUGGCUGAUAUUUUGAUAUUGUAUCAGCUGAUAUCUCAGAACAGAUCAGUUUAUAUCAGCUGAAAUAGUAAGGGCAAGAUGUUAUACAUUAUCAUAUUGCUGAGUGCCUAAUGACACAAAUCAAGAUCUUGGUUGAGAUCUCAACCAAGAUGACAACCUCAUUCUAAAAUGAUCUUGCCAGCCUCAGACUUUCUUGCAAGGGAAGCAUAUGAUUCCAUGAAAAUAUGGGACUCAGGAUGCCAGUUUGCAGAUUUAAGGAACUAAAACAUGGGACAUAAAUUGCAUUUGGCUGGUCCAGAGGGAUGAACGAGUGAUGGACAGCUGUGAUUAUAAAGGAAAAAAUUCAAUCGAGAUAAUUAUGGUAAAGAAAUCCCGCAUCCACAUUUAAUGAUGCAAAUGACUAACAAAAUAGAAUAAGUAUUCAAGAAAUAGCAACGAUCAAAUAAAGAGGAUGACAUUGCAUUGGGGUGGAUGCACAAAGAGAAUUUUGCAGAAAAACUCUACCAGACUUCAUUGUUUGCAAAAAAAAAAAAGUUUUAUGAUUUUGGCAAAAAAUGCCCAUGAAUCUAAUAAACCUUUAUGCUCCUCCUUGAAAAUUAUGACUUAAAGCUAUCAGAACCCGGGAAAAAUGAUCCAAUAAAGAAUAAGACACAUUAUUUCUGCAAAUGAGAAAACUGACCCUUUUUUGGAAAAGAAGAUUCAAUAGACUUUCUGCAAAAUUCUCUUGGCAGGAGGUAAGAUUUACCAAUGCCAAACAAUAGUAGCGAGUAUGUGAUUAGCCGUUAUGAUUGAUAAAGGAAUAAAAUAUGACACACAGCGGAUUCUUAGAAAAAUGGGGAUGAUCACAUACUACCAUCCAAACAACUGUGUAACAGGCAGCAGGAAAAAACAGCUUCUCAAAAUAUUGCUUUGCCAUCAAGAGAUAGAAUGUCUUUUUUUCCAUAUCUGAAAAUUUGCCCAUCGGGACUUCAAAAGGACAUAAGAAAUAUAAGGUAUUACUGAAUGUAUUUUACGCACCCAAGCCAGAGAAUAUCAGAGAAUUCCUUAUCUCAUGGCUGGCUGAAGAACUUUUUACAUUGUGAACAGAAGAGAUAGAUAUCACACUCUGAUGUGUUGAUGCAUACCCAAUCAACACCUUAAGGAAAAAGACAAAAUUAUACAAAUUCAAUAAAUCCAAGUCAUGCAGGCAAGUACCAAGUACCCAAAUUGACAAAUUGAUGCCCUGGAUAUUGAAGAUGACAAAUCAAAAUUCCCUAUAAAAGAACCUUAUCUGGGAUAACAUUCUAUGUUGCUGGUUGAAGUUGGAAGAGUCCACUACAAAGAUUGUAUACGUUGCAUGGAUAUUACAAAGGAUGAUGUUUUUGCCAGCAAAUAAAGCUCAAUAAAGGAAAACUAAAACAAAUCAGAACAAAAGAAUCUAAAAUCUUGUAGGUACCUGUCUCUCCACCGAAGAAGAGCUUCCAAAAGAGGCACUGGUGUAUGAUGAGCAACCAUAGCUAAUGAAUCUAACACUUGUUCAUAAGCUGGGUCAGAGGGUCGAAGGUAUUGUCCAUCCUGCUUGUUAUAUGUAGUUAGAAGUUAGAAGAGCAAAACAAACUUUAAAAAUAAAAUUUUGCCACUAAUCUACUGAAAACAACUAAACAAUAUUUGCCUAAACACAAUAACACACGGAUAUCUCAUUGUUAUCAUCUUGAAGUUAAAAAUCUUCCACUACAUACAUAAAGAAUAUGAGAGAUCGAUUUAAAAGGUGGUCUGCACAGUCCCACAAAACUUCGACUUGCAAGGCCUAACAAAUUCUCCGAAUCUUCUUAUUUCUCCUCCCAGGACUUUCCAUCAAUUAAACCAAACUCUUCUAGUCAUAUUCCCACCAUAAAUGAGAACAUGUUAAUAGAAUAGGACAGUCAGCAUCCAAACAACCCUUCAACUACAUUAAAACAACACUCUCCGAAGUAAAAUUCAGAGAAAUAACUGUACAUAAUCACCAUGUAUUGUCCUUCCUGGAUUAUUAAACAUUGAACCACAAGGGAAAUAGCACCAUGCUUCAAAAAUGAUUAUCAGCUCAUGAAAACCAACCAACCUAAACCAUAUUUCUCUUAAGUCACUCAUGAAGUAUCAGGUCUAACCAAAGCCACACCUUUCGUUAUUAUUUUCCUGACUAGAUUACAUCGGAUGCAAAAACAAGAAAUUUCAAACAUGAGCAACCCAAGGCUGAUAAUUACAACGAGUUUGCAUUAGCGUAAGCAAGCUAGUUGGUCUCUAGGUGAAGCAUAAAUAUGUACUGUGAUAACAAGAACAUCAUUGUGCUCUGCAAACCAAAAAUUUGGCGAAAGAUUAGAACUCUUGCAUAUAAGAUAAAGCAAACUAAAAUUGAGGAAUUCAGCUAAUGGGUUGCAGCUACCCAGGGAAGAGAAACAUCGAAAAGGCCUGAAAGAAACAUCGGGAAGAAGAAAAACUCGAAUUAGGGCAAAAGAUUGUAUAUUGAGAUCAGCUUCGAGAAAUCCAUCAACUAUCAGGAACCGUCUCGAGAACGGAUCGAGAACCCUGAAUCGAGGACUCGGGCCCUCCAUGCCCUCAUGGAAGGGUUGAUUCAGGAGAAAUGUCGCUCGAUAAUGCAAUUACGGAUGAAGAAGGAGAUAGAAACGGAGAUUCGAGAAGAGAGAGGUGAAUAAAGAGGGGAGAAGGGAGGAGAGGUGUGGACCUGGGCCUGGGCUGUCUCGAUGCGGCGGCGGGCCAAGGGGAGGAAGCGGUGGAGCAGCGCGUCCACGAUGAGCUUCGCCGCGCUGCCCGCGUUCAUCGCCAAGCUGCCGGCGUUCAUCGCCAGGAUAGGAGAGGGAAGGUGGGCAGGGGAAGGAGAGAGGGGGGAGGGGGUGUGGCGAUGACCGUCGACGGAGCGCAGCCUACCCUUCUAAUGACCCACUAGCUCUCGACACGUGCGAGGCACGUGCAAUGCACCGACCGACCAUGGCCAAAGUGAAGCAGCCGAGAAGGCUAUUCGUAAUAUUUAUGUUGCAGAAAUAACAAGUGAAAAAGGUAGGCUAGUCUCAGAGCCGGCUCAGCGACUGAGGCGAUCUUCUAAACUUCUAAAUCUAAAAGGACUUUUAUUUAUGGCUCGCAACUAAUCGAUUCUGUGCAUCCAUGGAAGAGUGUUACAAUCAGAGAAGUUCAGGAAAGCACUGUUGUGACUAGCCUCCAGAAGAAUGGUACUCGUAUUGGAUACGGGACAAGAGCGGUGACACAGACGUCGUCAAGAGCUGACGCGUGGAGAAAAAGAAGAAGAAGAAAGGAGGCAGAUUUGCCCUAUGCCAACGUGUGGAUUAUGAGGAGUGAGGGAUGAUGACGAGGAAGUACGUGGACCGAAGAGGAAAGCAAGUCAUAGAGCAGAAGCCUUAUAGCUCGAGAAUAUGGGGACCAGUACCUUGCAGUAAUCGAAGAUUAUGAAGAGGGCAUCGGGAGGAGAAGGGGGAGGUGAUCAAGUACUUGAUCAUGGCUGCCUUUCUGCUUAGUGUGGAGGGUUGCGUCUUGCACAGUGAAGUUGUGUCCCAGCUUUGUCUUUAAAAAUAAAAUUAAAAAAAAGUUCUCACGCAAGACAAUUUCUAUCUCCUGCAGUUUCCUCACCUGUAAACUUCUGUUUCCUCUCGUUCUUUGCAUGGGCUAUGUCCAUCUUGUUCUUCUUUAUUUUUGUUUUAAAGGAGAGGGAAAAAAACUCUGUUAGUUUGCUUGUGGAUUAGUGGACUUGUACUUUAAAUGUAUCUAAUCUUGCAUAAAUGACGAAAUUUGCGUUCUNNNNNNNNNNNNNNNNNNNNNNNNNNNNNNNNNNNNNNNNNNNNNNNNNNNNNNNNNNNNNNNNNNNNNNNNNNNNNNNNNNNNNNNNCUCAUGUGGAAUCAAUACUUGUUGAUAUAGAUAAUAAAACUUCUGCUCCAGUCCAAAUCGAGCAACAAGUUGGUUUGAUGUAUUAGACAAGUGAAGAGGAAAAAUGCAAAAAAAAAAAAAAAGUUUGAAAGAGCCGGUCACCUCUAAUCAUGUUCUUGUGAUGGUCUACUUGGUCCAUCCCUUCUUGCAUUCUUUAUCAGUGAUGUUCUAUCGCUUCUACAUAUAGAAAUUAUUAUUGACAACGGGUUAGGAAAUGCCCUUUUUAGUGAACUUAUAAAUAUAAUAAAAAUAUAGACUUGAGGUUAAUGAUAUAAGAAAACAAAGGUAUGACAACGGGUCUAAUAUGAAAGAAAAACAUCAAGAUGUGCAAAGAAAUUUAUUGGAUAUAAAUCCUAGAGCAUUUUACACACCAUGUGGAUGUCAUAACUUGAAUUUAGUAUUGUGUGAUGUUGCUAACUCAUAUCCUAAGUUUUUUUUUUUUUGAAGUGAUACAACGAAUUUAUACCUUGUUUUCUUCUUCUAUAAAAUGAUGAAAAUUUUUACAAGAUAAUGUAUCCACAUUGACUCUUAAACCCUUGUCACAGACACGUUGGAAAAAUCGUAUUAAAAUUGUCAAAGCAAUUAAAAACCCAGCUCCUAAAAUAAGAAAUACCUUAGUUCAAUUAGCGGAAACUAGUGAAGAUCUUAAAACAAAGAGUAAAACCACAUGCUUAGCUACAUAUGAGAUUAAAAAUUUUGAAUUUUUAUUGAGCAUUAAUAUUUAGUAUGAUAUAUUGUUUAUUAUUAACUCAAUUAGUAAAAACUUACAUACAUAUUGAUGUUGUUAUAAAUCAAUUAAAAGGUCUUCUUUCUUAUUUGAAAAGCUAUAGAAAAAAUGGAUCCAUGUCUACUUUGAUUUCAUUCAAACAAAUUGCAAAUGCAAUGAAAAUGGAACCUACAUUUCGUGAAAAACAUAUGAUUCGUAGAAGAAAAUAAUUUGAUUAAAAUAGUGAUGAUGGGAUAGCAAGAUUAGCUGAAGAAUCUUUUAGAAUUGAUUACUUUUUGUAUAUAGUAGAUCAAAUUAUUUCUUCAAUUCAAAAUAGGUUUGAAUAACUCACCAUAUAUAAAGAUAUUUUUGGUUUUUUGUUUAAUUUUAGAAAGUUAAAAUCUUUGAAUGAAGAGAAUUUGAAAAAGUAUUGUCUUAAUCUUGAAAAUAUUUUAAAGAAUGGUAAAUAUUCUGAUAUUAAUGAUCUUGAUCUGUUUUCAAAGCUAUAAGUUUUAAAAGAAAUUUUAUAAACAGAAACUAGUACCCCUAUUGAUACUUAAGUUUUAUAAAAAAAUAUAUUUUUUUUCAAAUGCAUGCAUUAUUUACAGGAUAUUGUUAACAUUACCUGUAAUAGUUGCUUCUAUUGAAAAAAGUUUUUCAAAAUUAAAGUUGAUAAAAUCUUAUUUGCGGUCAACUAUAUCACAAGAAAGAUUAAAUGGAUUAGUUAUAUUAUCGAUUGAAAAUAAUAUUUUAAUGAAUUUUGAGUACAAAAUUAGUUUGAUUAGUAAUUUUGCAUCUCAAAAAGCCGAACGAAUUAUUUUUAAAUGAAUUUUUAAAGUAUUUUGCACUUAUUAAUUUUUUUUCACCAUUUCUUAAAAAAAAACUCCUUUAGUAAAUCGUUUUAGGUUCCCAAAUGCAUUGAGCCACUCUUGACUAGUCUCAGCAAGUCGCAUGACGAGAUUAGUUCAAACUAAUUAUGGACAAUUUUGACUUAGGUCACCUUAUAGUAUAUAUCAUCGAUUCUAGAAACUUAUAUGGGUCUUCUAAUGCUUGUGUUUAGUUCAAGCUAGUAUUGGCAGGUGAAUUGCAGGGUCUAGUGAAACUAAACGUGAGUAACGUUUCCUUAUUAACCCUGUCUCAAUAUUACAUAUAAGUUUACUUGGAACCUGAGUUUAGCUAAAGCUAGUCUCAGCAAGUUGCGUGAAAAGUUGAAAUUGGGCAGGCGGAGUGCUGGGGCUAGUUCAAACGGAGCAUGAAUAUUUUCACACAUUAAACCCUGUAUUUUGAAAAUAUUAUACAUAAGUUUACACGGUGCUCAUCUUUAGUUGUAGGAGGCUCGCAGGGACUAGAGUAUUUUCACACGUUAGCCCUUGUCCUUUGUCAUUCUCAUAUAUAAGUUUAUGCGAUGCUUGGAUUUAGUUUUAACUAGUCUUGGCGGCUUGCAAGCACUAGUUUGAAAAGGACACGGAUGUUUUCAUGUAUUAUAGAAUGUUUGCCUUUAGAUUUAACUAAUCUUGGCUAGAGCUAAUUAUGGACGGGGCUUGGGCACAGAAAAUAUCAAAUUUUGAAUAGAUCUAGUCCAAAGCUUAACUAAAAAUGAAUAGAGUUUAGACCUAAGGCCCAACCUAAUUAACUCUUGUCUCGGCACAUGGAGAAGCUACUUGAAAUUAUUAUUGGGCAUACAUAUUUUUACAUAUUGGCCCCUAUACUCAUAUGGAACGCCAUAUUAAAAUGGUGUUAAUUCAUUUUGAAUAUAUGCAUAUUAGAAUGGUGUAAAACAUUAUAUCUUAUCACUUUAUCAAUGGUGUUAAUUCAUUUUGAAUAUAUCCAAAUUAGAAUUGUCUAUUUAAUAAGCAUUGGCAUGUGCAUCGAUGCAGGAGAUGGCUCUAUAAUUGCCACUAAAGAGUGGUACAUUUUAUCUUUCUAUUAAAGGAAAAAGAUCAAUAUGAUCAACUCAUGCUCAAUUAUGGCACAGACAUAUCCAGAUUUACAUUACAUUGCUAGAUAUUAUAUUUAGCUAAAGAGACUUCAAGCAUGUUGGUUAGGUAAUAAAUAUCCUAUUUCUCUUCUUGACAAAGUAUCUAAUCUAAUAAUAUAACUUCUAAACUUCAAUGCAUCACUAUUGCUUGUUAGCUUGAAGAAUCAACUUGUGUCGAUCAGACUUGUUGCAACUUCUCCAUGAAUUAAUAAAGUUUUCUUUUGCUAAAAAAAAUCUUCAGUAAAGUAUAUUUUAAAUAAAAAAGAGUGCUUAAAAUGCCUUUCUAAUUUGAAAGGAAGCUAAAUUUGUUAAAAUUCAAUAUCACCGAAAGGGAGUCAAAAUAGAAAAAAAGAAUAUUGUCCAUCUAUAUUCAUUUUCAAACUCACAUUUAUUUAGAUAUAAAUACAAAUCUCAGCAUUCAACUUAUACAUACAUACAUACAUACAUAUAUAUAUACACACACACACACACAUAUACAUGGAUAUGUAGAUACAUAUUCAUAUUUAGCAAAACAGGAAUAUAUAGUUUGUUAGCCAAUUUUUAUCUGAAUAUCUGGUUUUGACUGUAAUCCUAUUUAUUAUUCUUGUGUAGCUUUAUGAACUUAAAAGGAAAAUAAGUGACAACAUUAUUAUGUUCUUAACUUAAUAUACUUUCCAUGCAAUGAUAUCUUUGAUUUGGUGGUUCGCAAAAUUAAACUAUCCAAGUUAUAUCGAAAUCAUCAAUAUUCGAUUUGCAACCAUAUCCAUUUAAAAUCUAUCUAAUUUAUAUUUGUAUUUGUUAAUUAAAAAUGGAUACGGAUAUGAGCAUAUUAAAAUAUUAUUUGUGUCUAAUCCAUUUUUAACUCUAGCAACACGCUUCAAGUUUUUGUUACAUAAACAAGUCAAGCAUUUCUAACAAUUUUAUUACCAAUUGAAUAUUAAUUAUGUCCAUGUAAACCUUUGACAUAUUUAAUGCAACUUGGGAAAAAAUUUAAUAUAUAUGUUAAAUAGAGGUUUUAUUUCUAUAGAGUUUUUCAUUUGCCAUGUGAAUGCUCAUAUUAAUAACAUUAUUAAUAGAUCCCUUUAUUUUGGAGAAUAAAUAGGGCCCUUUUUUAAUGUGAUUUUUAUUAAAAUAUAACAAUAUAAUAUUAUUAAUAAGAAGCUUAUUCAUUAAUUAAAUCUUAUUAAAUAAAAACUUUUUGUAAGUACUACAAAAUUAAUACAAAAUUUAAUGCUAUUAUUAGUAACUAUAUUUGCUUAAUGUAUGCCAGUAUUAAUGAAAACAUUUUUUAUUUGUAUUGUAUUCUACCCAUAAUCUAUGUGGGUCAUUAACUACAUUAAUAUUUUAUUAAUUUAUAUUACAAUUUUAUAAUCAUAAUUUUAUUAUCUUGUUAUAAUAUAUUUAAGAGAAAAUUACAAGGACAUCCCUUAACUUUAAACCAAUCUCACUUACACCCCUUCGACUUAAAAAAGUGCCAGACUGACCCUUCAAAUUUUCAAAAUAUUCCAAACUGGUCCUUUGGCUCCCCAACCAGUGAACGGUGUUAGUUUUUUAGACUAUUUGAAACUGAUUUUGGCUAUCCCUCUCCCAAUUUCGAGAGUUGUUCCAUUUGAAUCCCCUACUCCCAUCCUCUAUCCUUUGACAUUUUUUGGUGAACAUCAAUAAUCCCAUCCUCCGCUUGGUUCUGGUCGUCCCUCCUUCCUUGUGCACCACCAUAGCAGGCAUUCGUAGAGCGUGAAAAGUAUCCAUCAAGCUGUAAAGGCUUCACCUCUUUUUUGAUAAAAAAUGUUUUAUCUUAAAAUUUUCUUUGACCAAGCUUGAUUUAGUGCACAAUAUGUAUUAUAGAACCUAUUUAGAGGCCAACUACAAUUUAGCCAUCAAAAUCCUUGAUUUAGAAGCCGAAUUUUGUUUGUUCAUGCGCGCAAUUGAUUGUUCUAUAUGGUUCCAUGGUUUAAUAUUGUUUAUGUACAUGUGGUGUGUUGUGGUCCCUCUUAUCCUAUGGUCCAAUGAUUGGUGUCCAGCAGUCCCUAAUUAAGAAUUUUGUUUUUUGAUUCUAUGCCCAUGUGUCUUGAUUCCUUAUGUAUAAUUUGGAUACCCCAUUCACUAUUUUUAUAUAUGUUCCAUUCUUUUUUAAGUCUAACUAUGCUAUAGUGGAAGUAUCAAAAAAAUACCUUCUUGAUUGUAGUAGCUAUUGUGGAAGCUAAACUAUGUUUUUGACUCCAAUAGCCAUAGCAGAAGCCUUAGGAGCAUAUAAUUUUUGACUAAUGCGGUGGUCUUUUUAAUGCGUAGUGGAAGCAUACAAAAAGCUUUAACCACUGCUACGACUUUUAUGCUAAACUAGAUAACAAAAGGCUAGUUGACUUAAGCACUUUGUUUCAUUUUUUUAACCCAUGAAACAGGAGUCAAGGCAUGCAUGCAAUAAUUUUCAAUUAAGUGCAAGACAUUUAAAACUCUCUCUUGCAACAAAAUCAUGGUUCCUUUUAUGUUAUGGCUGCAUAUGUUGCUGAUUUCAUGUAAGUUGAAAUGUGUCAUUUCAUGUAGUUGUCUAUGUUCAUAUAAGUUCAUAAAGUUAUCUAUUUUACGUAAGUUCAUAUAUUUUUAUUUCAUGUAAAUUAUCUAUUUUAAUGUAAGAUCACGUAAGUUUGCAUAAGUUAUCUAUUUUCAUGUAAGUUUUAUGUAAGUGUAGUCUCUAUUUCAUCCAAUAAUGCAUUAUUUCUCCUCAUUAAUAGGAUUUACUAUCAUUAUGGAUUACUCGUGCAUAUGCAAUGUCAUUGUGAUUUACUUGUCCAUUUUUGCAGAGAUGGACAAUGAUUUAGUCACUAUACAAAUCCACUAUGGUGGAUUAGGGUGGCAAUCGGGUCGGGUCAGGCAUAAAAAGGUCGGGUCAAAUACAGGUCGGGUCAGAAAACUAUAAAUAUGAACCCGACCUGUUUAUUAAACGGGUCAGGAAUUACAAACCUGAACCUGACCUGUUUAUUAAACAGGUAACCCGACCCGACCCGUUUAACCUGUUUAAUAAACAGGUAACCUGUUUACCCAACCCGACCCGACCUGUUUAACCUGUUUGCCCAACCUGACCCGUUUAACCUGUUUAGACCUGUUUAAUCUGUCCAACCCAAUCUGACCCGUUUAACCUGUUUAGACCUGUUUAAUCUGUCCAACCCAACCUGUUUAACCUGCCCAACCCGAUCUGUUUAGACCUGUUUAGACCCGUUUAACCUAUUUAGACCUGUUUAGACCUGUUUAACCUGUUUAACCCGUUUAACCUGUUUAACCCGUUUAACUUGUUUAGACCUGUUUAACCUGUCCAACAGUUAAACAGGUUAAACGGUUUAAACGGGUCAGACAUCUAAAACCCGUAUCCGACCCAAUUAAUAAACAGGUUAAACGGGUCGACCUGUUUCGACCCGAAUCUGUUUAGGCCAAACCCAAACCUGUUUAUGGCGGGUCGAACACGGGUCGGGUUGGCGGGUCGGGUCAUAUUUUGCCACCUCUAUGGUGGAUCCAUCAAGCAUCUCCCCCACUUUUAUUACAGUGGUGGAUCCAUCAGCUACUUUAAUAAUUAUGAUCCGAAUAGGUUAAGAGAGCUUGGGGAUAUGAUAGAGCAAUUAGGGUACAAGAAUUGUGCUCAUUUCUACUACCUCAUGCUAGGACGCACCUAUGAGAAUGCCUUGAGGGAACUUAGGUGAGGGCUAUGAGAGGGACGGAUGUUGCUGAAGUGUAUGUAGAGUACCAAGUGAAUAAAGCAGAUGUGAGCCACCAAGAUACUCUAUUGAUUCCAUUCCAUCAUCCUUCAUAGAUGAUUGUUGGGUCUAUUGGCAAUAGCUGAUGGAGAGAUGCCUUUUUAAGGGGGCUAAUGAGGCUAAGGUAGUAGGGUUUGCAGCCACUCUCAAAGAAGCAAUUGCAUCCAAGUCCAAGACUAAGAUUAAGAGAGGAGCAAUCAAAAGAGUUGGUAGGAGGAGAUUAGCUAUAGUUUGAAAGAGAAAGAUGUUGGUGACAAGGGGAAGAGAAUUGCAGCCACACAUGAGGGAGAGAUAGCUACUGGGAAGGAAAAAAGAAAGGAGGUGUUGCCACUACUGAUCCUACAAAUAGCAAUGACACCAGUAGUGACAUUAAUGCAUCUUUAGUGAGCUAAGAGAUUCAGAUGAGAAGGAUAAUGAUGAUUUAUUUGAUGAGUAUGUUGAUAAACAUUUUAUCGAUGAGGAGAUGAGAGCUGGACAAAGCAUUCUAAGAUCAACGUAUAUGCAGAUUUUCUUAAAGAUGAGCAAGCUGUGGGAAGAGAACUAGAGACUUGUGAAAUUGUGAGCUUAACAAUUUGGUUGAUGACAGUGAUUUAGAUGAUGAGAUUGGGAUACAGAAUAUCUUGAAUUCAAUGAAACUUCAUAUAUUAAAAAAAUAAUCAAGCUUACAAUUGGGAUGAAGUUUAGCUUUGCGGUUAUGUUUAGAAAGAUGCUGAGGCUUUAUUGAAUUCAGAAGAAAUUUGAUUUUGUGUAUAAGAAGAAUGAAAAAAGCAAGGUCAUAACUAUAUGCAACAAAGGUAGUGGGUGGAGAGUAUAUAGUUCACCAGUACAAAGGGAGGAUACUUAUUAGAUCAAGAACUUCCAAUCAGUGCAUAAGUGUGGAAGGCAAUUUGAAAAUUAUUACAUGACAUCGAGGUUUCUUGUGGAGUAGUACAUUAAGAAGAUCAUAUUUGAUGCAAAGUGGGUGUUAAAGGCUUCAACGAGCAAGUGAGGAGGGAUGUCAAGGUUUCUGUUCCUAAGAUACUAUAGAGUCAAGAUAAGGAGUAGUAGAAAUUAUGCAAGGGAACCACAAUAAGUAGUAUAUCCACCUAUGGGAGUACUAUGAGAUCAGAAGGAGGACUAAUCCCGAGAGCGUGAUCUUGUUGGAUGUCAGGAGGCCAAAUGAGGCCAACCAACCCACUUUUAGGAGGUUUUACUGAUGUCUUGCCAUAUGCAAGCAUAGGUUUGUAAGAGAAUGCAGAUCCAUUAUCGAACUUGAUGGAUGCCACCUAAAGGGAUCCUUUGGUGGGUAGCUACUAGCAGUAAUGGGGAAGGAUGGUAAUGACAAUAUGUUUCCCAUUUCAUAGGGUAUGGCCGAGGUAGAGAUGAAAGACAGUUGGAGUUAGUUUCUUAUAUGCCUAUCAGGAGACAUUUGGCCUAUGGAGGAAUAUGGAUGGACCUUUAUGUCCAUUAGAUAGAAAGUAUUUAUUGUUUCGUACAUUUAGUUUUCAAUACUAACUUUGUACUAACUUGUUCACUUGUGUAGGGUCUAGUUAAAAUAUUUUAGAUUGUUGUUUCUAGUGCCAAUCAUAGAUUUUAUGUGCGGUACUUGCAUGCAAAUUUUAAAAGUGUAGGGUUCAAGGGUAAUAGUUUUAAAAAUGCACUUUGGAAAUAUGCUAGAGCAACCAUACUAUAUGACUUUGAAGCUGCCAUGUAGGAGAUUCAGCAAUUAGAUGCAAAGGCAUGGCAGUGGCUCACACAACAACCAUUUAAUUUGUGGUUAAGGCAUGCAUUCAACCCAAGAUGCAAGUCUGAUAUGAUGCUAAAUAAUAUGUACAAAUCCUUCAACAAGUAUACAAUUAAUGCUCAAGACAAGCCUACAAUUACCUUGUUGGAGACUAUAAGAAGAUUGUUAAUGCAACUAUUCCGAGAUAAAAGAAAAGGCUAAGAUAAAAUUGCAGGUCCUCCACGCGCUAGGAUACAAAAGCUAGAGAGAGCUAAGUUAUAGGUUAUGGAUUGCCAUUGUAUAUGGAGAGAAGUGUAGAAAUUUAAAGUUGAACAUCUUAAUCAGCGAUAUGUCGUAGACUUGGGGGAGGUGCCUGCGGAUGUAGAAGAUAGGAUUUAUCAAGCUUCCCAUACUGCCAUGCUCUGGUAGCAAUUAUGUUCAUUAGCAAGGAGGCAGAGUACUUUGUCAGUGCUUAGCAUAGCAGCAAUAUAUUUGCUAGGGCUUAUGAGCAUAUCAUUCAACUAGUCCCUAGCAUGUAGUCUUGGCUAAGGACACGACACCCCACUCCCCUAAGGGCUUCUCCAGGAAGACCCAAAAAGGCAAGAAGAAAAAUAAGAGAAUGAGUCAAAGGAUUCUGCUAGAAUCACAAGAUAUAAUACCUUUCUGAGAUGCGACAACUGCCUUCAAUGGGGCUAUAAUUCUAGGACUUGCAAAAGGCCUAGGAAGGACAAGACAAAGAAGAAAAAGUAGGGCAUCAGAUCCAAUCAAGCCAGCAGCUAAGGGUGCAGCAAAAGGGGGAUUAAUUCGUAUUAUGUACUUAUGUUUCAUCACUCAGCCACACGGCAUCCCACUCCCCUAAGGGCUUCUCCAGGAAGACCCAAAAAGGCAAGAAAAAAAAAGAAAGAGAAUGAGCCAAAAGAUUCUACUAGAAUCACAAGAAAUAAUACCUCUCUAAGAUGCGACAACUGCCUUUAAUGGGGCUAUAAUUCUAGGACUUGAAAAAGACAUAGGAAGGAGAAGACAGAGAAGAAAAUUAGGGUAUCAGAUCCAAUCAAGCCAGUAGCCAAGGGUGCAACAAAAGGGAGAGAUGAUCAAUAUUAUAUAUUUAUGUUUCAUCCUCAGCUACUAUUAUCUCAUGUAUAUUUAUAUUUUGUCUUCUGUUUAUUUUCUAGAUUCGGCAUAUUGGGAGACCAUCAAAGAAGAAAGAUGGAAGCUUCCAGCCUGCCUCCUCCAGUCAUUAGCCUCUCAGCCUACCUUCUCAUAGCUUGCAGCCGUUCAACCCGCCUUCUUACAGCAUGUAGCUUCCCUUCUUGCCUCCUCGAGACCGCAGCCUCCCAGCCUACCUCGUCACAACAAGCACCCUCCUUACAACAUGCAAAAGCACUCUCAUAGCCAUGAUGUUCUGCAUCUAUUUUCAGCAUAUUUUUGGUUCAGCCUAUAUUUAGUUAGUAUUGGUGUACAUUGAGAUACUUUUGGGAUGAUGCUUUUAGUGUAUAUUGUGAUACUUUUGGUGUAUCACUUUUGGUGUUUAUUGUGAUACUUUUGGUGCUUAUUGUGAUAUUUUUAGUGUACUUGUGAAACAUUGUGAUACAUUAUUAGAUAUUGUGGUAUAAUCUGUUUUGACUCUAUUUUUGGACAUUUAUGUGCUAAUAUAAUGAUUCUUCUCUUUUAAUUAUGUAUUACUUGUGUUUUGAUUCUGAUUUGUUUCUUUUGUUUUGUAUUGCUUGCGAAAUAGCAUGUAUUAGUGAAUGAUUUGUCAAGUGUUUAACUGUAUUUUGAUUCUUCUUUUAUGUUUCCGUUCAGAAUUGUUAGGUAUUAAUGAAUGAUGUAGUAGGUAUCCUUGUGCAAUCAUAUAGAUAUAUACCUGUGUUUGCAUAUGCUAAGAUACCUCUAUUUAUCAUUUUCAAAUUAAAGGGGGUGUAUUUACAAAAUCUUAAAAGUAGAAGGGGUAUAACUGAAACUUAAGAAAAGUAGAGGGGCUGUCAGUGGAACAGAUAGAAAAGUAUAAGGGAUGUAACUGGAACAACAUAAAAGUUUAAUGGUAUUUUUAUCGAAUAUUCAAUUAUACAUUUCAGCUUCAAAAUGUGCAAGGUAUUUGGAAGAUACUAGGGAUCAAAAACCUGUGCAAUGCAUCUAAUGCAAAAAUUGAUCUUAGUAGGUUGGGUAAAGCUAUGUAUUUAAGGCAAAAAAUAUCAUUAUUGUUACACAAAUAGCUUAGAGAUUACAAAACAAGUUAAAAUAGCCCUAAGAGCAAAACAUCCCAAAUAGGACAAACCCAAAAACAUCCAACCUAGAAAACUGCACAAACCCCAAAUAUUUAACUUGGGAUCCUUAAUAAAUUCAAAAUUGAGAUAUCAUAAAAUAACUAGGUAUAACAACCCAAAACAUCAGCAUACGAAACACCGCUCAUUUGAUCCUUCUUUUGUAGCUUGAAAGCUAAGCAUCGAGCUUCUUGUUCUAUUUGCAAGAUCUUGUUCCUCAUCCUUUGUAUUUGAAGACGGAUCAUACAAACAGAAGUAAUCACAUCUUUCAUUUUUCUGGAACACUAAAUUGAUACUAGAGAUUUAAGUCAAAAAUUGGACAAUAAGUGCAAAAAGAGAAAAAUGGCAACAUACAUUGUACAUCUAACUAAAUACCGACUAGGGUUUCCAACGGUUCAUAAGAUCCUCAAAGGAGACCUUGUUCCAUAAUGGCAGAAAUCAAUAGGCCGAGAGAACAAGGAAGUAAAAGAAUUUGAUAUGCCUCAAUGGUUUUCCUCUCCCUUCUCCCUCUCCCACACCUCCCUUCUCCUAUCAAUUUGAUUUAUGAUUUUUUGGAUGCAGAAACAAUGCUUGUCGGAAAGGAAUCAUCUGAGGUCAUGUGAUACCUCACAUGUUUCAGAGCAUCUUGGCACCCAGAAGUGCACCCAGAAGUUGCACCCCACCAGCAACUCAGCAAGUGAUGUUAAGGAUACCUUGGUCAUUAUAUAACUUUACGAACUUUAUGCUAUCAUAUGAUUUUCAAAAAUGUUGUCCAAGGGAAACGCGGAAGCGAGUGGUCAGUCGUCCGGCCCAGAAAUAAGCUCAGACCUCCGCGUUACGGUGGCAGCGCUGCGCUAAUUCUUCGGAUCCCUCCCUCUGGCCACCGUCCAUGGCGGCGAGAGACCCCGCGCGAAGGCACCUCUCCACCACCACCCUCUCGUGCCUCGCCGCCCUCGUCUGCCUCACCUCGCUCUUCUUCCUCUUCUCCUUCAGGUCCUCCGUCGUCCGCCAGCCCUCCCGCUCCUCUCCCCGCUUCCUCGACCGCCUCCGCGACCCCUCAGAGCGGUUGUGGCGCGCGCCCUGCAACUACUACGACGGCGCCUGGGUCUGGGACCCGGACUCCUUCGCCCCUCGCUACGACAAGACCUGCAAGGAGAUCUUCAAGGGCUGGAAUUGCAUCGCCAACCACAAAUCCAACGGCCCCGAUCUGCUCCGCUGGCGAUGGAAGCCGUCCAGCUGCGAUCUCCCUCGCAUCGAUCCCCUUCGCUUCCUCGAACGCUACAGGAACAUCAGCAUAGGCAAUUCGUGAUCACUCCUUUUCCUUUUUAUGCUAAAGAUUAAGUUUUUAUUCUAGUUUUUCUUGGUAUGAUUAUGAUGCAGCAUAGGCGAAUUUUGAUCAUUCUUUUGCUUUCCAUUCUAUUCUUUCGUUGAAAGUUUGAAUCUUUUUUCUCUUUUCUUCGAAUUUGCUAACAUAACUUUGAAUUUUAGUGCAGGAUUUGUGGGGGAUUCUUUGAAUAGGAAUAUGUUUGUGUCACUGGUUUGCAUGCUGAGAGGAGCGAGCAGUGAAGUGAAGAAGUGGCGGCCGGCAGGGGCCGACCGUGGUUUCACUUUUCUUGCGUACAACCUUACGGUGGCUUACCAUCGGACCAAUCUCUUGGUACGCUAUGGUAGGUAAGCAAUGCUCAUUCGGCAAUUCAUAUAGCGUUCUCGAGUUUAUGAGUACUGUACUGUUGAAAUGGAGUGCGUGCUACUUUCAGUUUACAUUCCUUUUGGUUCAGAUCUCAUUCUCAUGUCUGUAUUUGCAUUGUCUUGGAAAUUUAUAUUCUAUGGGUGGAGUAGCUUGGAGCUUGGUCAAAGGAAUCAAUUUUGACAUAUGAUUUCAAACGCAGAAGGAAAUUUUUGAUUUAUUUGAUUUUUGCUUGUCUUUAUUUAGUCCUCCCCUCCCCCCCCGCCCAAUUUGUUUAUUGUAUUUGUUUUGAGGUAGGAGGAGGGAGAUUGAGUUAGAGUUGUAUUUUUGGCCUGUGCAGCUUUGGUAUCACUAUCAUAUAUCUUUAUAUGUUAAUAAACACAACCAUUUUAACAGACCUAGACUAUUGAAGCUUGGCAUUGUAGAACGUUCUGGCUACAUUCACAACAAGGGUUACUUUAUUUCUCUUUCAUAUUAAUGCUGAAUUAAAAAGAAAGAAUUCCAAUUUUGCUUUGUUGCUUCCUUGUUAUCAAUGUGAUAAAUCUACCAUCUCAUUCUGUACAGGUGGUCAGCCAGCUACAAUUCAAGUGCAUUAGAAUCUCUUGGAUACAAACAAGGUUAUAGAGUGGACGUCGAUGUUCCAGAUCAGACAUGGGCAGAGGCACCUCGCUUCCAUGACAUUCUCAUCUUUAACACAGGACACUGGUAAUCAUCAUUUAUCUUUUCAUUUUUCUUGUUCCUCUUCUUGCCUUUAAGCAUACAUUUUGCAUGUGACCUCUUGAGAAGUUGGUGGAAGAGUUUGCUAAAAUGCCUAAAGGAUGUAACUGUAAAAUGACUGUGAGAUUAAACCAAUGUAUAGUUUCUGGAAUUUCACUCCAAAAAUCAGCAGAUAUUUAUUGUUGAUGAAGACCAUUUAUACUCAUUAGUUGAUGGAGGACCGUCCUGUAAGAGAUAUGGGCGCAUUAUUGUUAGGCGUAAAUAAAGAAAUUAGAAAAUUUUAUUUUAUUUAAAAAUUAGAGAAUUUUAUUUUUAUCGAGAAUUCUAUCUUUAUUAGGACUAGAGUUUUGUGAGGACUUUAAUAUUUUAUUUCUAUACGGACUUUUAUUAAGAUUUUGGGUCUAUAAAUACACACUGAUAUGUAAUUGAGUAGACAAAUUUUGCAUUAUUGAGAUUUGAGAAUAUUGAGUUGCCUUCUUCCUCUGAUUCUUCCUCUCUUUUCUUGCCCCCUCUUUUUCUUCUUCUUCUUCUUCUCUAUCCUCCUUCCAUCCUGCGUCAGUUUGGUAUCAGAGCCAACCUUGAUCCACUACCGCUAUUGUAGCAUCAUCAUUGCUCCAUCAGUGUCACCUCAAGACCUGUGCUUGUCCACCACACCAUCACCAAGGAAGAAAAAAAAGAAAUCAUCCAAAUCCCUGUUCAUCCAUCUGCAAUCAUUGUGCCCAUCCGAAGCAUCGAUCUUUCGCUUUCGGCUGCUCCUGUUCCUCAGGCUCGACUCUGCUCUCUGACGGCGGAGUUCUUGUCGCCGGCUCUCUCAUUGGACUCCCCGAUUUUCGAAACCCAUCUCUUUGCUUCGACUCCUUUACCUCAGUCGUUGGAUCUCCUACUCCACCCUGCCAGACAAGAUUAGCCUUAAGGAUACUUCCCACCAUCAGUUAACCUUGCUCGUGGCCUCUGUCUUGAUCCACCCCUCUCGUCGAUGCUGUCCUCAUAUUGUUGCCGCUAUCGGCCUUCGCCAUCGACCUCGACCUCCCUCGCCAGUUGGAUCGAGUCCGCAGCAUUCUAGCCAAGGCCCUUCGCCGCUUGCGCUAGGGCUUCAAAACGAAGCUCGCGAGGAAGAAACCUAACUUGUGGAUUCGGGUUCAAACCCAUCAAAUUCGAUCUGCAAGAUCUGACCUAGAAGAAGCCUUAGUAGAUUUCGGUUUAGAUCCUUAAGGAUCCAGACUCGGUAAGUACUCUGUGGAUCUAGGUUUGAUUCACAUCUGACUUGCCAACCCAAUUAAUUUUUUUUCGCCACAUCAUUACUUUUGCCACGUCACCAUCUAGUUAGUAGCAUGAUCAUCCUUUCAGCAACCAUUGACAUAUAAGCAUAGACAUGCAGCCCACCAACAUAUCGGCUUGUGCCACGUCAGCACGACGUCACCUGCCACGUCAGCAUUAGGAACCAGCCCUAGCUAAUUUGGACAUGCUGAUUUUAUUUUUUGUCUAUUUUUGCUGAUUCUGCCUCUAUAGUGAGUUUUUUUUUGCUAGAAGGUGAAGUAGUGGUUUAAAGUGCUCUUAGCGGGGUAACAUCUUUUCUUUUGAAAGUUUGAUUGAUGUCUAUUUGUUUAGGUAAUCAGUAAAUUGCUUUAGUCCAAGUUUAACCUUAUCCCUAUCUUCAACACCCCCC
rnacentral:lncRNA from 1 species